rnacentral:rRNA from 1 species
UACGUAGGGGGCGAGCGUUGUCCGGAGUUACUGGGCGUAAAGCGCUUGUAGGCGAUCCACCAAGUUUGGGGUGACAGUUGCCGACUUAAUCGGCAAAGUGCCUCAAAGACUGGCGGACUUGAGGGCCACAGAGGGACAUGGAACUCCAGGUGUAGUGGUGAAAUGCGUAGAUAUCUGGAAGAACACCAAAGGCGAAGGCAGUGUCCUGGGUGGUCGCUGACGCUGAGAGGCGAAAGCCAGGGGAGCGAAUGGG